AGUGAACGCUGGCGGUAGGCCUAACACAUGCAAGUCGAACGGCAGCACAGUAAGAGCUUGCUCUUACGGGUGGCGAGUGGCGGACGGGUGAGGAAUACAUCGGAAUCUACUUUUUCGUGGGGGUUAACGUAGGGAAACUUACGCUAAUACCGCAUACGACCUACGGGUGAAAGCAGGGGAUCUUCGGACCUUGCGCGAUUGAAUGAGCCGAUGUCGGAUUAGCUAGUUGGCGGGGUAAAGGCCCACCAAGGCGACGAUCCGUAGCUGGUCUGAGAGGAUGAUCAGCCACACUGGAGCUGAGACACGGUCCAGACUCCUACGGGAGGCAGCAGUGGGGAAUAUUGGACAAUGGGCGCAAGCCUGAUCCAGCCAUACCGAGUGGGUGAAGAAGGCCUUCGGGUUGUAAAGCCCUUUUGUUGGGAAAGAAAAGCAGCAGGUUAAUACCCCGCUGUUCUGACGGUACCCAAAGAAUAAGCACCGGCUAACUUCGUG
rnacentral:rRNA from 1 species